rnacentral:rRNA from 1 species
AUUGAACGCUGGCGGCAGGCCUAACACAUGCAAGUCGAACGGUAACAGGAAGAAGCUUGCUUCUUUGCUGACGAGUGGCGGACGGGUGAGUAAUGUCUGGGAAACUGCCUGGUGGAGGGAGAUAACUACUGGAAACGGUAGCUAAUACCGCAUAACGUCGCAAGACCAAAGAGGGGGACCUUCGGGCCUCUUGCCAUCGGAUGUGCCCAGAUGGGAUUAGCUAGUAGGUGGGGUAACGGCUCACCUAGGCGACGAUCCCUAGCUGGUCUGAGAGGAUGACCAGCCACACUGGAACUGAGACACGGUCCAGACUCCUACGGGAGGCAGCAGUGGGGAAUAUUGCACAAUGGGCGCAAGCCUGAUGCAGCCAUGCCGCGUGUAUGAAGAAGGCCUUCGGGUUGUAAAGUACUUUCAGCGGGGAGGAAGGGAGUAAAGUUAAUACCUUUGCUCAUUGACGUUACCCGCAGAAGAAGCACCGGCUAACUCCGUG